ensembl:lncRNA
GAGAAACCGCGUGUUGUCUUUCUCACUGUCUGACUAACUCCUGUAGUGCUUUGUGGUGAGUUUUAUUCAGAUACUGCACGAAUUUGACUCUAAGAUUUAGUGUAAACUUGACUUUGUCUUCAUUGUGUUGUAACCUCUCCUUCUCUGUCUCAUCCAGAUGAUUAAGCGCAAAUUUGUGAUUGAUAUCUGGCAGGAACCUUUGUGCAUGAAGAAAUUUCUCGCCUACCAUCCACCUACGGGACCGGUGCUUUUUCACACAGCUCGUCUUUUUUUCCUCGGCUCACGCUGGAGAUGGUUACUAAUCACUGUUUCCUAAUUUGGAACUCAUUUAUCAACUGGCCUAGAGUAAUAGAUGUGAGAUAAAGCCGUCUGUGCUUGUGUCAGCAUGUGAUACACGCAUACAUGCGACACACAUCACGUUAUGAGAGCUCAGCAAAGACUUGUUUGCCUAUAUUCCCCUCGAGUGUCUGGUGUCUCGGCCAUAAAGCUGCAUAUUUGCUCUUACAUCAUCUAAAGCACAAAUAGCAUGGCAGUUAUUAAAGGUGAAGUGCAUCUUCAGAGCUAAAGGUUACGUAUUUGCGAUGACGACCAUUUUAGGAUGUUUUUGAAUUUUCACACCCUACGGUAUAUGUGUUAUGCAUUCUUACUGGCAUAUGCAAUUGUUUUAUAUGUUGAAAAAGGCUUUUCGUCUCCUAAGAUUAGAGAUAUACAAUGUACACUACAAUUCAAAAGAAAUUCAUACUUUUAUUCAUGCAUUAAAUGCGUUAAAUUGAUCAAAAGUGACAGUAAAGACAUUUAUAAUUGUACAUUUAAAAAAAAAUGCUGUGGUUUUGAGCUUUCUAUUCAUCACAGUAUCCUGAAACACAAAAGAUAUGAAGCAGCACAUUUGUUUUCACCAUUGACACUGAAGACUAGAGUAAUGAUGCUGAAAAUUCAGCUUUGAUCACAGGAAUAAAUGACAUUUUAAAGUGUAUUCAAAUAGAAAAUUUAAAUUUUAAAUUCUAAUAAUAUUUCAUAAUUUCUGAUCACAUUUUCGAUCGCAUUUUUGAACAACAUAAUGUAGUCAAUGUGAUACAAGGGGGUUUAAAAUUUGCAUUUAUAUUUUCAGUUCAUGCUUUCUCAUACAUUUAUUUUAUUUUUUUUAAAAGGUUGCCCUUUCAUGUCACAUCUGUUACAAUAUUGUAUUUUUCAGCAUUAAAGGAAGGACCAAUCCAUGACUGAAUAAGCCAUUGUCUCACAUAAUUAAAAACAACAAUAAAUCAAAAUGCAUGUGCUGAAAUUCUGACAAUUUUGCAUUCGCUUAUUUUUUUAAAUAAAAAUAUUUAUAUUAGGUCAUCUAAUGCACCGAAUGAAUGCUCAAAAGCACCAGUAAAUAUACAUGAUUAAUGAAAACUCCUAAACCCAUAAGAGUAGCGUUUUAAAAUGUCUCUCUUUACAGCAUUCGUCAGCGCAGGCCGAAACCGAGAGGCUUGUUUGCACUAGGAUCUUUAAAGAAUAACUACGAGGAGAAAUGGAGACAUUAAUCUCACUCAGGCAUCAAUUAAGAGGUCACGGCGAGGAGAGACUGUCGUCCGGCAGAAUGGCGUCAGACGUGGGCCGCAGGACUUGAGGUCAGCCGUUCACUCAGCGCACAGUGUUUAUUCUGCCUUCAGGUCCUCCUGGGAAGUUCCUACUUAAGAUUUCGGAAGUCAUAAUUAUGAUGUGAAGUGAAUUUGCUUGAAAUAAUACGGAUGAGUUGAGCAUAUUUAUGUGUGUCUUUAACCCAGCUAAAAAGGGAACGUUCACAGAACUGUUAAUACAAUGUUCAUUAAGAGUUAUCUGGUCUUUUAUAAAUUUCCCAAAAUUUUAGCACAAAAUAUUAUUAUAAAUCUUUCAUGGAAUGUUU